UACGUAGGGGGCGAGCGUUGUCCGGAAUUAUUGGGCGUAAAGAGCUCGUAGGCGGUUUGUCGCGUCUGCCGUGAAAGUCCGGGGCUCAACUCCGGAUCUGCGGUGGGUACGGGCAGACUAGAGUGAUGUAGGGGAGACUGGAAUUCCUGGUGUAGCGGUGAAAUGCGCAGAUAUCAGGAGGAACACCGAUGGCGAAGGCAGGUCUCUGGGCAUUAACUGACACUCAGGCACGAAAGCGUGGGGAGCAAAAGGG
rnacentral:rRNA from 1 species